rnacentral:rRNA from 1 species
UACAGAGGUCUCAAGCGUUGUUCGGAUUCAUUGGGCGUAAAGGGUGCGUAGGUGGCGCCAUAAGUCAGGUGUGAAAUCUCGGGGCUCAACCCCGAAACUGCACUUGAUACUGUGGUGCUUGAGUACUGGAGAGGAGAUUGGAAUUUACGGUGUAGCAGUGAAAUGCGUAGAUAUUCGCAGGAACACCAGUGGCGAAGGCGGCUCACUGGUCCGAUACUGACGCUGAGGUGCGAAAGCGUGGGGAGCAAACAGG